rnacentral:rRNA from 1 species
AUCCGGGUUGCGGACAGUGUCUGGUGGGUAGUUUGACUGGGGCGGUCUCCUCCUAAAGAGUAACGGAGGAGCACGAAGGUUGGCUAAUCCUGGUCGGACAUCAGGAGGUUAGUGCAAUGGCAUAAGCCAGCUUGACUGCGAGCGUGACGGCGCGAGCAGGUGCGAAAGCAGGUCAUAGUGAUCCGGUGGUUCUGAAUGGAAGGGCCAUCGCUCAACGGAUAAAAGGUACUCCGGGGAUAACAGGCUGAUACCGCCCAAGAGUUCAUAUCGACGGCGGUGUUUGGCACCUCGAUGUCGGCUCAUCACAUCCUGGGGCUGAAGUAGGUCCCAAGGGUAUGGCUGUUCGCCAUUUAAAGUGGUACGCGAGCUGGGUUUAGAACGUCGUGAGACAGUUCGGUCCCUAUCUGCCGUGGGCGCUGGAGAACUGAGGGGGGCUGCUCCUAGUACGAGAGGACCGGAGUGGACGCAUCACUGGUGUUCGGGUUGUCAUGCCAAUGGCACUGCCCGGUAGCUAAAUGCGGAAGAGAUAAGUGCUGAAAGCAUCUAAGCACGAAACUUGCCCCGAGAUGAGUUCUCCCUGA